UAGCUAAUACAAACAAAGUUGAUGGUUU
rnacentral:sRNA from 1 species